UAAUCAAUGUCAUGCAUCCUUAUGUGCAGCCACCGUUGUUCUCAUAGAUAUGAAUGAGUAGAUAGGACACGCCCCUUUGAGCUGCGGCUACAGCGAGGCUAAGCUAGUGGGGGCAAAGUUUCAGUGCAUUCCGUUGAUGUAGACGGCGUGAAAACGGAAACAAGAAGUAUGCCAGCUCACUGUGCUGCAUACAAUUGCACACUGCGUCAUACGAUUGAGACAAGGAAACUUGGAAUGACUUUUCAUAGGUAAGAAUAGCUUUUGGCUCUUUUUUCAUUAUGAAAUCUUGUUGAGAGCUUCCAGUCUAUGAGAGCUAACUAGUUAGCCACUAGCAAAACGCUAAGGUGAGCUAGCAGCUUGACAACCAAAUACAAGACGAUUAAUAGUAGCUGUAGUAUAGUUGUACAAGCAGUAGUAGUAAUACUAAAAGUACAAGCAGCAGUAGUAGUAUAAACAGCUGUUAGAGUCGUAGAAGUAGUAUCAGCAUUUGUAAUAGUAUUACAAGUUGUAGUAGCAGUGCCAGUAUCAGCAGCAGUAGUUAGUGUACUACCACUACUACUAGUAGUAGUCACAUUGCUAUUACUACCACCAAUACUACCAAUAGUAGUUAUAAAGCCUAACUCAUAUAUAUCCAGAUUACCAUCUAUGUUCUUCCUCCAAACCCAUUUUAUGAUUGGGAUUACAGGCAGUUCUUUAGGACUGCUCUCAAAUAAUUGAAAUGUUACUAAACAAGGUUAUACUUAUCAAAUUAAAUAGCUCUGGUCUCCAGUAUAUUGGUGAAUUCGGUUCUUUGUACUUAAUUUAUUAGCAUGAUUUCUUUUUAAUAUGUUGUGUACAGACUUAAUUACUUCUCUGUCUACUUUUCUUACUCCAUGUAGGUUUCCCAGAGACUAUGGGUUGAGGAGGAAUUGGAAGUCUGUCGGCUUAGACCUGGUGUCAUUCCAUCAGUGUUUAACUUCCCGGCUCAUCUUGGAAGAGUACGUGCCAGAAAGACCACGACCAAGCAGCCUUGAGAUCUUAGGCAGCGUCUCCCUCAGGUCCCUCUCUAUCUCCCCACACAUCCACCAACCACUGGAACACAUCUCCAAAGUUCUGCAGGGCCAGCUCAGCUUCCCCUCAGAAGAAGUGCUGCCACCUGCCAGAUGAAGGAGCCUUUUGAGAGGCAGCUGGCAUCGUGAUUGGACUGUACUUUGGUCUGUUCCAAUCCAGCUUCAGCUCCAGAGACGGCAGGUGGGACGAGUCAACAGAGGCCGGGUGGACGAAGGCAUGCAGCUGAGUACAAUCUAGAAAACAACAGAGGAGGAGUGCAGCGGCCCAGGGCCAGAACACAGUAGCAUGGUAUGUCUCUCAGAAAACAUCAUAGUAUAGCCUUUGGUAUGAAAAAAACGCCAUCAUAUACUGUACAAAUAAGUCAAAGCAAAGAGACAUACAUUGUAGAAUUGUAGUAAUUGUGGGCUGACUGAUUUACUGAUUAUCAGUAUUUUAUUUUUUACUGAUUUACGGUAAUAAAUACAUUUAAAAAUGG